GAUUUUCCUCAAGUGUGGAAAACACAGCACUGAUGAGAUACCAGUUGCUUUUCAGCGGUAAACUGACAGACUUGAAGCGCUCCCGGCUCAGGGCGCCUUGGGUCCGUGGCGCCACCUGCUGUUCUCGCGGCGCCAGCGCAGUCUGCGAGGCCGUCCCAGCUCUUUCCACCCGAGCGCGAGGUAGACGCCGGGGCCACCCGCAGCACGCAGAGCUUCUGGGAGCCGGUGGCAAGGCCGAAUUGGGAUGCAAACCAAAUGGACGUGGGUGACUGGCAGAAAACGCCUCCCACAAAUGGGAGGGAUUUCGGAGGGAACCGAAAGAAAGUUGUAGGCAAUUUGUGCGAGCAAGGGGCUCUUCUCCACACAGACACUCAGGGACCACAGUCUCCACCAUCUUAUAGAGGCACUUCCUUGAACAUGUGGUCCUCUCAGCGCCUGCAGCAGAAGAGAGCACUGGAGAGUGCCUGUCCUUGGAAUUAGUUCUUCUUCCCUAAUUAGAGUGAACUACUACAGCCACCCCAACCUUGAGCAACCAUCACUCUGAUCAAUCAGCAGCCAUCAACAUUGAGACAAGACUCUCCACCAGCAAAAAGAUUAUGACUUGUCCGGGUGCGGUGGCUCACACCUGUAAUCCCAGCACUUUGGGAGGCUGAGGCAGACAGAUCAUCUGAGGUCAGGAGUUCGAGACCAGCCUGACCAACAUUGUGAAACCUGUCUCUACUAAAAAUACAAAAAAUUAGCCGGGCAUGGUGGUAGGCACCUAUAAUCUCAGCUAUUUGUAAGGCUGAAGCAGGAGAAUUGCUUGAACCUGGGAGGUGGAGGUUGCAGUGAGCCGAGAUCACAUCAUUGCACUCCAGCCUGGGCAACAAGAGCAAAACUCCGUCUAAAAAAAAUAUAUAUAUAUAUAUGACUCACUGAAGGCCCACAUGAUCAUUCGCAAUUUUUAGCCAUAACGUAUUUUUAAAAUUAAAGUAUAUACAUUGAUGUUUUAGACAUAAUGGCAUUGUACUCUUAUUAGACUACAGCAUAGGGUAAACAUAACUCCUCUAUGCACUGGGAAAUAAAAAAAUCUGUGAC
rnacentral:lncRNA from 1 species